rnacentral:rRNA from 1 species
GAGUUUGAUUAUGGCUCAGGACAAACGCUGGCGGCGUGCAUAACACAUGCAAGUCGAACGAAAUCUACAUGAUUUAGUGGCGAACGGGUGAGUAACGCGUGAGAAACCUGCCUUACACAGAGGGAUAGCCGUUGGAAACGACGAUUAAUACCUCAUGACACCGUGACAUCGCAUGAUGAUGCGGUCAAAGAUUUAUCGGUGUAAGAUGGUCUCGCGCCUGAUUAGCUGGUUGGUGGGGUAACGGCCUACCAAGGCGACGAUCAGUAGCCGAUCUGAGAGGGUGGACGGCCACAUAGGGACUGAGACACGGCCCAAACUGCUACGGGAGGCAGCAGUGGGGAAUUUUGCACAAUGGGGGAAACCCUGAUGCAGCGACGCCGCGUGAACGAAGAAGGCCUUCGGGUUGUAAAGUUCUGUCCUUG